rnacentral:rRNA from 1 species
UGGGGAAUAUUGCGCAAUGGGGGGAACCCUGACGCAGCCACGCCGCGUGAAUGAAGAAGGCCUUAGGGUUGUAAAGUUCUUUCGGUAUUGAGGAAGGUUGAUGUGUUAAUAGCACAUCAAAUUGACGUUAAAUACAGAAGAAGCACCUGCUAACUCCGUGCCAGCAGCCGCGGUAAUACGGAGGGUGCGAGCGUUAAUCGGAAUAACUGGGCGUAAAGGGCACGCAGGCGGUUAUUUAAGUGAGGUGUGAAAGCCCCGGGCUUAACCUGGGAAUUGCAUUUCAGACUGGGUAACUAGAGUACUUUAGGGAGGGGUAGAAUUCCACGUGUAGCGGUGAAAUGCGUAGAGAUGUGGAGGAAUACCGAAGGCGAAGGCAGCCCCUUGGGAAUGUACUGACGCUCAUGUGCGAAAGCGUGGGGAGCAAACAGGAUUAGAUACCCUGGUAGUCCACGCUGUAAACGCUGUCGAUUUGGGGGUUGGGGUUUAACUCUGGCGCCCGUAGCUAACGUGAUAAAUCGACCGCCUGGGGAGUACGGCCGCAAGGUUA